ACUCCUACGGGAGGCAGCAGUGGGGAAUAUUGGACAAUGGGCGAAACCCUGAUCCAGCCAUGCCGCGUGAGUGAUGAAGGCCUUCGGGUUGUAAAGCUCUUUUGGCGGGGACGAUGAUGACGGUACCCGCAGAAUAAGCCCCGGCUAACUUCGUGCCAGCAGCCGCGGUAAU
rnacentral:rRNA from 1 species